CCUACGGGGGACAGCAGUGAGGAAUAUUGGUCAAUGGACGAAAGUCUGAACCAGCCAAGUAGCGUGAAGGAUGACUGCCCUAUGGGUUGUAAACUUCUUUUAUAUGGGAAUAAAAUGUUCCACGUGUGGGAUUUUGUAUGUACCAUAUGAAUAAGGAUCGGCUAACUCCGUGCCAGCAGCCGCGGUAAUACGGCGGAUCCGAGUGUUAUCCGGAUUUAUUGGGUUUAAGGGGAGCGUAGGCGGAUUGUUAAGUCAGUUGUGAAAUUUUGCGGCUCAACCGUAAAAUUGCAGUUGAAACUGGCAGUUGUGAGUACAGGAGAGGAGGGCGGAAUUCGUGGGGUAGCGGUGAAAUGGUUAGAUAUCACGAAGAACUCCGAUGGCGAAGGCAGCUCACGGGACUGCAACUGACACUGAGGCUCGAAAGUGUGGGUAUCAAACAGGAUUAGAUACCCCGGUAGU
rnacentral:rRNA from 1 species